AGAAGCACCGGCUAACUCCGUGCCAGCAGCCGCGGUAAUACGGAGGGUGCAAGCGUUAAUCGGAAUUACUGGGCGUAAAGCGCACGCAGGCGGUUUGUUAAGUCAGAUGUGAAAUCCCCGGGCUCAACCUGGGAACUGCAUCUGAUACUGGCAAGCUUGAGUCUCGUAGAGGGGGGUAGAAUUCCAGGUGUAGCGGUGAAAUGCGUAGAGAUCUGGAGGAAUACCGGUGGCGAAGGCGGCCCCCUGGACGAAGACUGACGCUCAGGUGCGAAAGCGUGGG
rnacentral:rRNA from 1 species